CCGCGUCAUCAAGUUUUCCCAAGUAGUGCUCCGACGAAAAUUUUGUUAAACCCGAAUGAACUAGCAUUUUUUUCAUUGGUCCCUUUUAUAGCCAUGGUUUCGCCUAGAGAUCAGAUCUUGUUCAUCAUAUUUCUACUGCCGCUCAACUCGGUCUUGGGGAAACCGGAGGGUGAGUUAUAUUUUAUUGCAAUAUUAAUAAUAAUUCGAUCUCGCUAAUGACGCUCAUAUUUUGGGAUGGGAUGAGCCUUUACUGUGGAGCACACUGUGCCUGCGUCUGCCUUGUAAAGGCUUUAAUCCGUCAUUGGGACGAUUGAGAUAGAGAGGAAAAACAACGUGUGUGUGUGUGUGUGUGUGUGUGUGUGUGUGUGUGUGUGUGUGUGUGUGUGUGUGUGUGUGUGUGUGUGUGUGUGUGUGUGUGUGUGUGUGUGUGUGUGUGUGUGUGUGUGUGUGUGUGUGUGUGUGUGUGUGUGUGUGUGUGUGUGUGUGUGUGUGUGUGUGUGUGUGUGUGUGCAUGAAUUGUUGAAUGUGAGGCAGUAUUGUCAAGCGCUUUGAGUAGCCACUGGUUAGAACAGACCUGUAAAAAUGGAGUCCAUUUAGCAUUUUAGAAACGUGCUUUGCAUGCAAUUUAUGUUUUGUCGGGUCUCUCCAUAGAUUUUGUUUCCACCGUGAUCUUGGCGGUGAUACUGGCGGUGAUAUUGUUGCUGUCAUUUGCAUUUAUCGGGGUUCACAGGCUCAGGACAGGGAUCUGGAUCUGGAAAAAAGAAAUCUGGGAGAAACGAAAGGAUGAAAGGAAUGGGUCUUCCAAAGAUGGGACCAAAGAUGGAUGUCCGAAAUCUCUGCUAAACCAGACUAAGUAAGUCAAUGUUUAGUUUUAUCCGACUUCGGGGGGACAUUGCAGCACCUUAAACAAUUUGUAAAAGCCCAAAACUCUUAUCAGAGUAGAACUGAAUCAGGGCUGAUGAGACACACACACACACACACACACACACACACACACACACACACACACACACACACACACACACACACACACACACACACACACACACACACACACACACACUGUUAGGGCUUAAUUGGGAGUGACAGACAUUGUGUCUGACAGAAAGUUCUCAACACCUUAACACUUCCUUCUGGUUUAUCAGGAACUACGUGGAGGUCACGCAGGACGAGGAUACUGCUGUCUGAACAACUACAAGGACCAACUACUGUCCACUGCAUUGAGGCUAUUGCAGUAGUGCACUUUAUAAGAACUGCUGAGUUCUUCAAGGAA